UUAAGCGACUAAGCGUACACGGUGGAUGCCCUGGCAGUCAGAGGCGAUGAAGGACGUGCUAAUCUGCGAUAAGCGUCGGUGAGGUGAUAUGAACCGUUAUAACCGGCGAUUUCCGAAUGGGGAAACCCAGUGUGUUUCGACACACUAUCAUUAACUGAAUCCAUAGGUUAAUGAGGCGAACCGGGGGAACUGAAACAUCUAAGUACCCCGAGGAAAAGAAAUCAACCGAGAUUCCCCCAGUAGCGGCGAGCGAACGGGGAGGAGCCCAGAGCCUGAAUCAGUGUGUGUGUUAGUGGAAGCGUCUGGAAAGGCGCGCGAUACAGGGUGACAGCCCCGUACACAAAAAUGCACAUGCUGUGAGCUCGAUGAGUAGGGCGGGACACGUGGUAUCCUGUCUGAAUAUGGGGGGACCAUCCUCCAAGGCUAAAUACUCCUGACUGACCGAUAGUGAACCAGUACCGUGAGGGAAAGGCGAAAAGAACCCCGGCGAGGGGAGUGAAAAAGAACCUGAAACCGUGUACGUACAAGCAGUGGGAGCCUCUUAAUGGGGUGACUGCGUACCUUUUGUAUAAUGGGUCAGCGACUUAUAUUCUGUAGCAAGGUUAACCGAAUAGGGGAGCCGAAGGGAAACCGAGUCUUAACUGGGCGUUAAGUUGCAGGGUAUAGACCCGAAACCCGGUGAUCUAGCCAUGGGCAGGUUGAAGGUUGGGUAACACUAACUGGAGGACCGAACCGACUAAUGUUGAAAAAUUAGCGGAUGACUUGUGGCUGGGGGGGAAAGGCCAAUCAAACCGGGAGAUAGCUGGUUCUCCCCGAAAGCUAUUUAGGUAGCGCCUCGUGAAUUCAUCUCCGGGGGUAGAGCACUGUUUCGGCAAGGGGGUCAUCCCGACUUACCAACCCGAUGCAAACUGCGAAUACCGGAGAAUGUUAUCACGGGAGACACACGGCGGGUGCUAACGUCCGUCGUGAAGAGGGAAACAACCCAGACCGCCAGCUAAGGUCCCAAAGUCAUGGUUAAGUGGGAAACGAUGUGGGAAGGCCCAGACAGCCAGGAUGUUGGCUUAGAAGCAGCCAUCAUUUAAAGAAAGCGUAAUAGCUCACUGGUCGAGUCGGCCUGCGCGGAAGAUGUAACGGGGCUAAACCAUGCACCGAAGCUGCGGCAGCGACACUAUGUGUUGUUGGGUAGGGGAGCGUUCUGUAAGCCUGUGAAGGUGGCCUGUGAGGGUUGCUGGAGGUAUCAGAAGUGCGAAUGCUGACAUAAGUAACGAUAAAGCGGGUGAAAAGCCCGCUCGCCGGAAGACCAAGGGUUCCUGUCCAACGUUAAUCGGGGCAGGGUGAGUCGACCCCUAAGGCGAGGCCGAAAGGCGUAGUCGAUGGGAAACAGGUUAAUAUUCCUGUACUUGGUGUUACUGCGAAGGGGGGACGGAGAAGGCUAUGUUGGCCGGGCGACGGUUGUCCCGGUUUAAGCGUGUAGGCUGGUUUUCCAGGCAAAUCCGGAAAACCAAGGCUGAGGCGUGAUGACGAGGCACUACGGUGCUGAAGUGACAAAUGCCCUGCUUCCAGGAAAAGCCUCUAAGCAUCAGGUAACAUCAAAUCGUACCCCAAACCGACACAGGUGGUCAGGUAGAGAAUACCAAGGCGCUUGAGAGAACUCGGGUGAAGGAACUAGGCAAAAUGGUGCCGUAACUUCGGGAGAAGGCACGCUGAUAUGUAGGUGAAGCGACUUGCUCGUGGAGCUGAAAUCAGUCGAAGAUACCAGCUGGCUGCAACUGUUUAUUAAAAACACAGCACUGUGCAAACACGAAAGUGGACGUAUACGGUGUGACGCCUGCCCGGUGCCGGAAGGUUAAUUGAUGGGGUUAGCGGUAACGCGAAGCUCUUGAUCGAAGCCCCGGUAAACGGCGGCCGUAACUAUAACGGUCCUAAGGUAGCGAAAUUCCUUGUCGGGUAAGUUCCGACCUGCACGAAUGGCGUAAUGAUGGCCAGGCUGUCUCCACCCGAGACUCAGUGAAAUUGAACUCGCUGUGAAGAUGCAGUGUACCCGCGGCAAGACGGAAAGACCCCGUGAACCUUUACUAUAGCUUGACACUGAACAUUGAGCCUUGAUGUGUAGGAUAGGUGGGAGGCUUUGAAGUGUGGACGCCAGUCUGCAUGGAGCCGACCUUGAAAUACCACCCUUUAAUGUUUGAUGUUCUAACGUUGGCCCCUAAUCGGGGUUGCGGACAGUGUCUGGUGGGUAGUUUGACUGGGGCGGUCUCCUCCUAAAGAGUAACGGAGGAGCACGAAGGUUGGCUAAUCCUGGUCGGACAUCAGGAGGUUAGUGCAAUGGCAUAAGCCAGCUUGACUGCGAGCGUGACGGCGCGAGCAGGUGCGAAAGCAGGUCAUAGUGAUCCGGUGGUUCUGAAUGGAAGGGCCAUCGCUCAACGGAUAAAAGGUACUCCGGGGAUAACAGGCUGAUACCGCCCAAGAGUUCAUAUCGACGGCGGUGUUUGGCACCUCGAUGUCGGCUCAUCACAUCCUGGGGCUGAAGUAGGUCCCAAGGGUAUGGCUGUUCGCCAUUUAAAGUGGUACGCGAGCUGGGUUUAGAACGUCGUGAGACAGUUCGGUCCCUAUCUGCCGUGGGCGCUGGAGAACUGAGGGGGGCUGCUCCUAGUACGAGAGGACCGGAGUGGACGCAUCACUGGUGUUCGGGUUGUCAUGCCAAUGGCACUGCCCGGUAGCUAAAUGCGGAAGAGAUAAGUGCUGAAAGCAUCUAAGCACGAAACUUGCCCCGAGAUGAGUUCUCCCUGAGACUUAGAGUCUCCUGAAGGAACGUUGAAGACGACGACGUUGAUAGGCCGGGUGUGUAAGCGCAGCGAUGCGUUGAGCUAACCGGUACUAAUGAACCGUGAGGCUUAACCUU
rnacentral:rRNA from 2 species